rnacentral:rRNA from 1 species
UAACGCGGGCUUCGGCCUGGCGACGAGUGGCGGACGGGUGAGUAAUGCAUCGGAACGUAUCCAUUUGUGGGGGAUAGCCCGGCGAAAGCCGGAUUAAUACCGCAUAAGCUCUGAGGAGGAAAGCGGGGGACCUUCGGGCCUCGCGCUGAUGGAGCGGCUGAUGUCGGAUUAGCUAGUUGGUAGGGUAAAGGCCUACCAAGGCGACGAUCCGUAGCGUGGUCUGAGAGGAUGAUCAGCCACACUGGAACUGAGACACGGUCCAGACUCCUACGGGAGGCAGCAGUGGGGAAUUUUGGACAAUGGGGGAAACCCUGAUCCAGCCAUGCCGCGUGCGGGAAGAAGGCCCUCGGGUUGUAAACCGCUUUCAGACGGAAAGAAAUAGCGCAAGUUAAUACCUUGUGUUGAUGACGGUACCGUCAGAAGAAGCACCGGCUAACUACGUGCCAGCAGCCGCGGUAAUACGUAGGGUGCGAGCGUUAAUCGGAAUUACUGGGCGUAAAGCGUGCGCGGGCGGUUCUCUAAGACAGGUGUGAAAUCCCCGGGCUUAACCUGGGAAUUCGCGCUUGUGACUGGCAGGACUAGGAGUGUGGCACACGAGGGGGAUGGAAUUCCUUGGUGUACAGCCAGUUGAAAUGCGUUAGAUAUCCAAGGAAGGGAAAACACCGAAUGGCGGAAAGGGCACUUCCCC